rnacentral:rRNA from 1 species
AGAGUUUGAUCAUGGCUCAGGAUGAACGCUGGCGGCGUGCCUAAGACAUGCAAGUCGAGUGGGUUUAGACCCACGGCGAACGGGUGAGUAUAACCUAGGAACUUCCUUUAAGUUGAAGAUAUCCUCCCGAAAGGGAGAGCAAUAUUCAAUGUGGCAGCAAUGCUAAAGUCGCAAGACGCUUAAAGCAAGGCCUGGGCCCCAUCAGCUAGUUGGUAGGGUAAUGGCCUACCAAGGCGACGACGGGUAGCGGGACCGAGAGGUUGAUCCGCCACACUGGGACUGCGACACGGCCCAGACUCCUACGGGAGGCAGCAGUUUGGAAUUUUGGACAAUGGACGAAAGUCUGAUCCAGCGACGCCGCGUGCACGAAGAAGGCCUUCGGGUUGUAAAGUGCUUUUGCUUGGGAAAAAUUUUGAUUGUACCAAGAGAAUAAGAGGUUGCUAACUCUGUGCCAGCAGCAGCGGUAAUACAGAGACCUCAAGCGUUAUCCGGAAUCAUUGGGCGUAAAGCGUUCCGAUAGGUGGUUUACUAAGUUUUGGGUAAAAGCCAGAAGCUCAACUUCUGCGUUUGCUCAAGAUACUGGUAGACUAGAGGAGUAAAGAGGUAGCUGGAACCAACGGUGUAGUAGUGAAAUGCGUUGAUAUCGUUGGGAACACCGAAAGCGAAGGCAGGCUACUGGGUACUACCUGACACUGCUAGGACGAAAGCGUGGGGAGCGAAUGGGAUUAGAUACCCUAGUAGUCC